rnacentral:lncRNA from 1 species
GCUUUCUAGAUUCCCCAGUUGUUAGCACUCUCCCCUCCCUUCCCAUUAACUUAGUAUUUAUUUUGUGUACUCCCCCAGAAGAAUAGGCAGAUGAGAACAAUUUGUUCCAACAGCCAUGAAACAAGCAAUGUGAAGGACUUCUCGUUUCCUCAAGAGAAGGGACAAGGAGAAAGUACGAUAGUGACUAAUCAGAUUUGA